GACGAACGCUGGCGGCGUGCUUAACACAUGCAAGUCGAACGGAAAGGCCCUGCUUUUGUGGGUUGCUCGAGUGGCGAACGGGUGAGUAACACGUGAGUAACCUGCACUUGACUUUGGGAUAACUUCAGGAAACUGGGGCUAAUAUCGGAUAUGAUCUCCUGCUGCAUGGUGGGGGUUGGAAAGUUUCGGCGGUUGGGGAUGGACUCGCGGCUUAUCAGCUUGUUGGUGGGGUAGUGGCAUACCAAGGCUUUGACGGGUAGCCGGCCUGAGAGGGUGACCGGCCACAUUGGGACUGAGAUACGGCCCAGACUCCUACGGGAGGCAGCAGUGGGGAAUAUUGCACAAUAGGCGGGAGCCUGAUGCAGCAACGCCGCGUGCGGGAUGACGGCCUUCGGGUUGUAAACCAAUUUCGCCUGUAACGAAGAGUGAGUGACGGUAAUGGAUAAAGAAGCACCGGCUAACUACGUG
rnacentral:rRNA from 1 species